rnacentral:pre_miRNA from 1 species
UGUCAGACCUGUCGGAGUAAGGACACUUGGGAUUGAAGAUUGAUCUUGAGUUAACCUAAUUAGGAGUAGGCUAACUUGGGAGCAAUCUUCCCUCCUGAGUGUCCUUACUCUAGCAGGUCUGGCA